GGAUUUCGGGAUGGGCCAGUCGGUCUGCCGUAAGGUAUGUUACUGGCUGGUCUGUCCUUCUUCGCAAAGACUGCGUGUGCCCUUGAUUGUGUGUGCGUAGGAUUUGCGACGUUUACUUUGAAAAAAUUAGAGUGUUCAAAGCAGGCUGACCGCUUGAAUACAUGAGCAUGGAAUAAUGGAAUAGGACUUUGGUUCUAUUUUGUUGGUUUCUUGAACCGAAGUAAUGAUUAAGAGGGACAGUUGGGGGCAUUCGUAUUUCGUUGUCAGAGGUGAAAUUCUUGGAUUUACGAAAGACGAACAACUGCGAAAGCAUUUGCCAAGAAUGUUUUCAUUAAUCAAGAACGAAAGUUAGAGGCUCGAAGACGAUCAGAUACCGUCCUAGUUCUAACCAUAAACGAUGCCGACUAGGGAUCAGCGGGCGUUAUUUUAUGACCCCGUUGGCACCUUAUGGGAAACCAAAGUUUUUGGGUUCCGGGGGAAGUAUGGUUGCAAAGCUGAAACUUAAAGGAAUUGACGGAAGGGCACCACCAGGAGUGGAGCCUGCG
rnacentral:rRNA from 1 species